rnacentral:lncRNA from 12 species
AGGAACUGCCUGAGGCCUAUUACAUUUAAUAUUCCUUUGACUAAAAGCCAUUAUAUAAUUACACAAUAAGUCCUUGCACUAUAAAUCAAUGGAAUUCAUAUUAAGUAGCUUUCCUUUGAAGGGACUGAAAUGAGAAUGGGAUUAAGAAAGAGUGAAUGAGAGAAAACGCAUUUGUUGUUUUUUCCUGUUUAAAAUAACUUUUAUUACUUUUUGCUUCUUCCAGGUUCAUUAAAGAUAAUUUAACUAGAUAAAAAGGAAGAAAAUAUCCAUCUAUAAUCUCACCAUCCCCAGUAAUAACCAAUAUUGUUAAUUCAAUGUAUAUUAUUUGCAAUCAGAUAUACACACAAACACACACACACACACACAUAAUUUUUCACUGAAAUUAUCUGAAUUGGUAUUUUAGGUUGAAUAUCCCUAGAAGACCUUGAGACAAGGAUUCAAGUGCUAAUAGUUCACUUGAGAAAUGACCUCAGGAAACACAAGUAGAAGAGUAGAAAAGUGAGACAGGGAAAAGAAAGCAGCCAAUAGAGGGUACAUUAACUGGGAAGUAAUCGCCGUGGAUCCCUGUAGCUGAUGCCAAUGAGGAACUCUGGGAGUCAAUACAGAAGACUGUUCUUGUCCAUACAUGAAUCUCAUCGAUUACUGGGUAGGUUCCCACACCCAGUGUGGAGCCCAAUCUGGAGCUUUAAUUCAUGACCCUGAGAUCAUGAGCUGAGAUUAGGAGUCAGACACUUAACUGACUGAGCCACCCAGGCACCUCUAAAUGUUCAAAUUCUUAAAAUAACAUUAAAAUAGUAUAAAGACUGACUAAAAUUCUUUUGUUGUUGUCGUUGCUUUUCUGUGCUUAUUAACUGUGUUGGUGAAUGCAUGGUAACUGGCUUUAUUGUUCUGUGAGUAGUAUAUACUCAUUUAUAGAAUACAAAGAAAAAGAAAAAAUCAGUUAAUAAUUUUCAAUAUUUAAAUUUAGCAGACUUCAAAUAUUAAACAUUACCAACAGAAAUUUCUAAAUGCAUAUAAGAACUUCUUAUAAUAUUUCAAUCUUAAAUAAAAUAUAUCUACAGCAUAAAAUUACA